GUUAUUUUAUUAGAUAAAAUCAAUGGUUAAUUGAAAAUAUUGAAUAUUUUUCUUUCUGAUUGCUGAGGAUAUCUUCCGAAAACAGAAACAUAAGAUUUGAAUUGUUCUUUUAAAAUUCUAUUGGCAGUAUGUUAACCUGAAGUCCUCUCUGUUUUUCAGCUCUAUUUGUUUGCCAGCAAAUGCUUUUCUUAUGAAAAAGAAAACUCUUGUUAUCAUCUAUUUCAGUGGCGAAGAGACCUCAUUGCAGCUACAGACACUGUAAAAAGUUGGAACUUGCUUUGACAAGGAAGUCUUAUUUGAAGAUUGUCUACCUACAAUUGAAGAGAAACUAUGCACCACUGACUGACAUGAGUAAAGAGGACUCUACAUGGCCUGUUUCUGUGCUCCCAGUGGAAAUGAACCCAGGAGGGAGAAUCUGUGAUGAGGGAUGUUAACAAGGAACAGAUGAUUACUAAAAUGGAGAUAAAAGCCAUCUUAUAGCUUGUCUGAUGCAGGAAAGAGCCCAAGGCUUAAACUGGGAAGUAACAUUAUUUAGCAAAAACUGAUUUUCAGAAAGG
rnacentral:lncRNA from 1 species